UACGGAGGGUCCGAGCGUUAUCCGGAAUUAUUGGGUUUAAAGGGUCCGUAGGCGGGCGGUUAAGUCAGUGGUGAAAGUCUGUAGCUCAACUAUAGAAUUGCCUUUGAUACUGAUCGUCUUGAGUUAUGGUGAAGUUGGCGGAAUAUGUAGUGUAGCGGUGAAAUGCAUAGAUAUUACGUAGAACACCGAUGGCGAAGGCAGCUGACUAGCCAGAUACUGACGCUGAUGGGCGAAAGCGUGGGGAGCGAACAGG
rnacentral:rRNA from 1 species